GACGAACGCUGGCGGCGUGCUUAACACAUGCAAGUCGAGCGGUAAGGCCCUUCGGGUACGACGAGCGGCGAACGGGUGAGUAACACGUGAGCAAUCUGCCCACUCACAUCGGGAGUAACUCCGGGAAACCGAAGCUAAUACCGAAUACGACCACUUCAGGCAUCUGACGGUGGUGGAAAGUUCCGGCGGUGAUGGAUGAGCUCGCGGCCUAUCAGCUAGUUGGUGAGGAACGGCCCACCAAGGCUUCGACGGGUAGCCGGCCUGAGAGGGUGACCGGCCACACUGGGACUGAGACACGGCCCAGACUCCUACGGGAGGCAGCAGUGGGGAAGUAUUGGACAAUGGGCGAAAGCCUGAUCCAGCAACGCCGCGUGAGGGAUGACGGCC
rnacentral:rRNA from 1 species